GACGAACGCUGGCGGCGUGCCUAAUACAUGCAAGUCGAGCGGGCCUCCGGAGGUGCUUGCACCUCCGGAAGGCCAGCGGCGGACGGGUGAGUAACACGUGGGCAACCUGCCUUUGAGGCCGGGAUAACACCGGGAAACCGGUGCUAAUACCGGAUGCGUCCCCUUUCGCGCCUGCGAGAGGGGAGAAAGACGGUCUUUAAGGCCGUCGCUCAAAGAGGGGCCCGCGGCGCGUUAGCUGGUUGGUGGGGUAAGGGCCUACCAAGGCGACGAUGGGUGGCCGACCUGAGAGGGUGAUCGGCCACACUGGGACUGAGACACGGCCCAGAAUCCUGCGGGAGGCAGCAGUAGGGAAUCAUCCGCAAUGGGCGAAAGCCUGACGGUGCAACGCCGCGUGAGUGAGGAAGGUUUUCGGAUCGUAAAGCUCUGUUGUGAGGGAAGAACAGCUUCCGGAGGAAAUGCCGGAGGUUUGCCGGUACCUCACCAGAAAGCCCCGGCUAACUACGUGCCAGCCGCCGCAGUAA
rnacentral:rRNA from 1 species